CGCACCACCCCCAGCUCGGGGUUCGCCUCUCUACUCUCUCAUUUUGUUCUGCACGUUGCUCGCCUCUCUACUGUCUCCGCCUCCUCCUGCAGGCGUUGUCGCUGCGGGUCUUCUCAGUCCAGAUGAGAUUGGUGACGCAUAGAUUUUCAUUGGUUCACCACGAAGCAUUUCCCUCCUCAUUCUGCCUAGCAUUCUCUUUCUCCUCCUUUAUACACCCCACCACUCUCCCUAAACAGGUUCUGAAGGAUAACAAUCUUGAUGUAAAUGAAUGAACACUUGCAGAUGCACAAGGAAUUGCGGGAACUUAUCAUUCUUUAUGGAACUUGUCUCUUCCUUCUCUGUUCUUCGUCUUCCACAAUAUAAACACAAAAAUAGUUGUUAUAUUAUCGUACCUUCUGUGUGUCUGGGUAAAAGGAGAAACUACAGUACUGAAAUUUCAUUAGUGGAUUGUGGAGAAUUUACUACGAACUCCUGCAUUUCCAAUAAUCCCUCCAGAGGUUCAAGCUCAGCUGAUGAUUUGUUGAGAUAUAAAUCUGAAACAUAUCCAUUUCUUCAAGCAAGCCGUUUUCAGCACUGGUUCAAAAACUGGCAAAAGCUUAGAAAGAACAAACUGACAGCUAGCACUUUUCCUGCUGCUAUUGGAUUUUGGCCACGACGAAGGGUCCAACUUUGGUUAGAGAAGCUAGGUGCAAUUGAACCAUUCUCUGGAAACCUUGCUACCUGUUGGAGCAAUAUUAAAGAGGAGGAGGCACUUGAACGAUAUAAACUGAUAACUGGAAAUACUGUCGUAUUUCCUGAAUUUCAAGUCUAUAAUGCAAACCCAGAUGAUGACUGGCUAGCUGCUUCACCAGAUGGUGUAGUUGACAGGAUGCUGUAUGAGUUGCCUUCUCAUGGGGUGCUGGAGAUAAAGUGCCCAUUUUUUGAUGGGGAUAUGAGUAAAGCUUCCCCUUGGUCACAAAUUCCACUGUAUUAUAUUCCCCAAGCUCAGGGUUUGAUGGAAAUUCUAGGGAAGGAUUGGAUGGACUUUUAUGUUUGGACUCCAAAGGGAAGUAGUCUGUUUAGGCUAUAUCAUGAUGCGGAGUAUUGGGAUGUAAUGAAAAUGGCACUAUCUGAUUUCUGGUGGAAGCAUGUACAGCCGGCAAAAGAACUGUAUGAUAAUAACGUUAUAGCAAAUCCACUUUCUGAACUAAGUUCACUGAAACCAGCUCCUAGGCAUGAAUUAUGUGGUUAUUUAGUUUAUGAAAGCAAACGCAUUGCUGAUAAUUCCAAGCUAUUGAUGCGGGAAAUUCAUGGGAAACUGAUCAGUUGAUGUCUUUUGCUUUUGGAGAGAAAUAAUGAUUGAAGAAAAUAACCCUGCUAGAGAGUGGUGAUGCUUGAUGAUAGGGCCAUCUUUGACCGGAGACACUAAUUGACAGCUCCAACGUCAGAUAAGAUCAACAUUAGAAGAAAUAUUUGAGGUUAUAGUGAGAUAAGACCAAGAGGGGUUCAGCUAUUGAACUCUUUUCUACCAUGCAUGCUCUCUCCUUGCAUUCAUCAGUGCAAAGGAUCUGCAGGCCAACGGCUUUUAAGAACAACAGAAUUAUCACAUACUUGAAGGGAGUUUAUCUCUGUAGUAAGUUUUACAUGUUUCAUACUUAGAAGUGCUGCCUUCUGAUGCAGUUGUCAUUCCCAUUUCUUGUGUGUUUUAGUUCUUGUUCUUGAGUUUUAUUGCAUUUCAAAUGCGUUUGUAUAAUUUUUGCACUUUUCGCUCCAUCUUAAAACAGUUUCAAAUGGCUUUUGGGGUUUUGAGGUGUUUGAAACUGGUAAACUAAGGAAACAUACUAGCCAAUGUGUAUACCCAUUUUGGCAUUUCUUGUAAUGCUUUGGCAAAAGAAAUAUUAGAAAAAUUAACUACACAAAGCAAGUGUAUUGGUCCUUAUGGAUACAACUACAGAAAGCAACGAUUAUAAAGUUAUUAAAUUUAUUUCCA